UACAGAGGGUGCGAGCGUUGUUCGGAAUUAUUGGGCGUAAAGCGCUUGUAGGCGGCACGUCAAGUCGCGUGUGAAAUCCCCAGGCUUAACCUGGGAAGUGCGCGCGAAACUGACGAGCUUGAGUGCCGGAGAGGGUCGCGGAAUUCCCAGUGUAGAGGUGAAAUUCGUAGAUAUUGGGAAGAACACCGGUGGCGAAGGCGGCGCUCUGGACCGAGACUGACGCUGAGGCGCGAAAGCGUGGGGAGCAAACAGG
rnacentral:rRNA from 1 species